rnacentral:rRNA from 1 species
GCUAAAAACCUAGCCCUACUAAUUUUUAAGACGUUCAUCUCCCUUAUAUAAACAAACAAAACAUUUUCUAAACCUAGUAAAGGCGAUUAAAAAGUUUUUAGGCGCGUUAGCACCAGUACCGUGAGGGAAAGGUGAAAUAAAAGUGAAAUAAAUUUGAAGCAUAACAAAGUAGAGACUAACCCUCGUACCUUUUGCAUCAUGGUCUCACUAGUACCCUCAAGCAAAAUGAGCUUUAAGUUUGACACCCCGAAACUAGACGAGCUACUUCAAAACCGCCUUCACGGGCCAACCCAUCCCUGUCGCAAAAUGGUGGGAAGAUUUUCAAGUAGAGGUGAUAGACCUACCGAGCCUAGAGAUAGCUGGUUAUUCAGGAAAGGGAUAUUAGUCCAACUUUAAGCCUUCAAUAUACACUCAAAUACAGAAAUAGGUUUAAAAUUUAUUCAAAUAAGGUUCAGCCUAUUUGAAACAGGAUACAACCUACCACAUCGGGUAAUGCCACAACCACAUGACCAAGUAGGCCUAAGAGCAGCCACCUUUUAAAAAGCGUUACAGCCUCAUCAUGCCCAAUAAUUAAUCCCAACCUAAGCCCAAAACCCAUCAUCCGUACUGAAUGACUCCAUAACUAUAUGGAAAACCUUAUGUUAGAACUAGUAAUAAGAAUAACUUCUCCACCAAAUGUAAGUGUAAGCCGGACUGAACCAAUCACCGGCAUCUAUCGCCAAUGAGCCUGCAGUAGUAACUAAACACAAGAAAAUCCUACUUUUUAAAGCGUUAACCUUACACUAGAGCUUUUCUGGAAAGAUUAAAAAGAGAGGAAGGAACUCGGCAAAUAUAAACCCCGCCUGUUUACCAAAAACACCGCCUUCUGAUAACAAUAGAAGGUCCCGCCUGCCCAGUGACAAACUUAAACGGCCGCGGUAUUUUAACCGUGCAAAGGUAGCACAAUCACUUGUUCUUUAAAUAAGGACUAGUAUGAACGGCACCACGAGGGUUCUACUGUCUCCCCCUUUUAAUCAAUGAAACUAAUUUCCCCGUGAAGAAGCGGGGAUGCCAAUAUAAGACGAGAAGACCCCAUGGAGCUUUAAACUCAGUAUCACUUGCAUUAUUUAACACCAUUUAAACCUAGCAAACCUGCCUACUAGUUUUUGGUUGGGGUGACCGCGGAGUAAAACAAAACCUCCAUGAUGAAAGGACUUUCCUCCUAAUCAAAGAGCCACAACUCAUAGAAUCAAAAUAUUGACCCAAUUGACCCAAUUCAUUUGAGCAACGAACCAAGUUACCCUGGGGAUAACAGCGCAAUCCAUUUCAAGAGCCCCUAUCGCCAAAUGGGUUUACGACCUCGAUGUUGGAUCAGGGUAUCCCAGUGGUGCAGCCGCUACUAAAGGUUCGUUUGUUCAACGAUUAAAACCCU